rnacentral:tRNA from 1 species
UAUGUAUAAUUUUUAAGUAUGGCGGUUAUGGUGAAGCGGCUAACACAUCUGACUGUGACUCAGACACACGCGGGUU